AUCCGGUUGACGAGUCUCAAAUAGGACGAAACGCGCGUCCUGGAU
rfam:Schistosoma mansoni strain Puerto Rico chromosome 6, complete genome